GGAGGGGUGCCAGAGUGGUUGAAUGGGACGGUCUCGAAAACCGUUGUGCUCUUAUGGGUACCGUGAGUUCGAAUCUCACCCCCUCCG
rnacentral:tRNA from 3 species